GGCCGUAUCUCCAGCUGAGGUGGUCUGGAAAGGAACCCCCAGACAGCUCAGCUUAAGCCAUGGCCUCUGCACGCAUCUCAACACUUGCCAUUCUCUUCACACUGAGUACUUUGAGCCUUGCUAAGACCACCCAGCCCGCCUUCAUUGACACAUAUGAAGGACAAGAGGUGAACAUACCCUGUAACCACAGCAACAUUGCUACGGAUGAGUACAUCUUCUGGUACCGACAGUUCCCUAGCAAGGGACCACAAUUUUUUAUUCAAGGAUUUAAGAAAAACGUGACAAAUGAAGUGGCAUCUCUGUCCAUCCCCGCCGACAGGAAGUCCAGCACCCUGAGCCUGCCCCAGGCUGCCCUGAGAGACUCUGCUGUGUACUACUGCAUCGUGAGUAACACACAGUGA